CUCUCUCCACCUAUGGAGAUACAUCUGAAGAGUGCUCCACCUGAAUACCAUGUCCUCCCAAUGUACUUGCAACAGGCAAAAGAGAAUAGGAUGUAAGUUGUCCAGCGCUGCCCUACUUGACCUCCUGCUGCUCCUCCAUGCCAACUCGCCUUUGAAAAACUGAAUUUUUAUUGAAGGUGACAUCCCUACUAAUGAUGACCUUCUUUUCCAAG
rnacentral:lncRNA from 1 species